CUCAAAUGUGACCAAGCAGCUACAAAGCACUCGUUCUAAUGCGUUAUCGUUUCUAUGGUAACACAUUCUAUAGAAACACAUAAUCCAAGACUAAUACUAAACGUUGUGGGUGUUUUUUUUUUUUUGUUUUUUUUUUUAAAUAAAUGUGGUGUUAUUUGACAAAAACGUCUAAUCACUGAUAUUGUGAAGCCUUCAAUAAGGAGUCUCGGGUGACGGUGCUUUGUGAUGCUUCUCCGAAACUAGAGAAAUGGCUCCUGGGAAGUACAAGCCUCUGAGUGCAUCAUGGAGGAUUUUACUAAGCCAACCUGGAAUUCAGACAUUUUCGAAUUGUUCCAGUGAAGCGAUGAUCCUACGUAGACAACUGAGAUGUUUAAAAUGGCUACCGUUCUAAAACCAUACUAAAAUUCAAAAACAAUACUAUAUAACUGCGGGGGAGACGCAGCAAAUCACUGAAAUGUCAACUCGAUCUGGAGGACACAGUGUAAUGUGAUACAAUAACAAAACAGCUUCAUUUGUAUUCUCAUACACUUGUGAUGUAAUAAAAG
ensembl:lncRNA